CUUGCUAUGAUGAGAUAAAUAACACGUGAGUGUUCUUUAGGCAAUUGACAGGAUCUAUUGGCCUUGCCGUGAUCCUUUCAAAUAAACAACUUCUCCUUCCACUGAGCAUU
rfam:Spinacia oleracea cultivar SynViroflay scaffold58139.1, whole genome shotgun sequence.